AUUGAACGCUGGCGGCAUGCCUAACACAUGCAAGUCGAGCGGAUGAAGGGAGCUUUCUCCUGGAUUCAGCUGCGGACGGGUGAGUAAUGCCUAGGAAUCUGCCUGGUAGUGGGGGAUAACGUCCGUAAACGGGCGCUAAUACCGCAUACGUCCUUAUUGAGAAAGUGGGGGAUCUUCGGACCUCACGCUAUCAGAUGAGCCUAGGUCGGAUUAGCUAGUUGGUGGGGUAAAGGCCUACCAAGGCGACGAUCCAUAACUGGUCUGAGAGGAUGAUCAGUCACACUGGAACUGAGACACGGUCCAGACUCCUACGGGAGGCAGCAGUGGGGAAUAUUGGACAAUGGGCGAAAGCCUGAUGCAGCAAUGCCGCGUGUGUGAAGAAGGUCUUCGGAUCGUAAAGCACUUUAAGUUGGGAGGAAGGGAAGUAAGUUAAUACGUUGCUGUUUUGACGUUACCAACAGAAUAAGCACCGGCUAACUUCGUG
rnacentral:rRNA from 1 species